rnacentral:tRNA from 1 species
GCGCCCUUAGCUCAGCUGGAUAGAGUUGCUGACUUCGAAUCAGAAGGUCGGGGGUUCGAAUCCCUCAGGGCGUGCCA